CCUGCUAUUUUGUUUCCCUGGUCGAGAAAUUUGUUGAGAGGUAGCUUCAGCUUGUUUCUUCAGAGGGCGGUUAACUAAUAGAUUAGCUUCUUUGUCUUCUCUAGGCUUAGCUUGUUUCUUCACCGGGAAGUUGGCCUUUCUGGCUGCUUUCUCUUCUCCAGGUCUAUCUUGUUUCUUCACAAGGUGGUCAUCUGAUGGACUAACCUCUCUGACAGAGCAUGCCACCUUCUGCCUUCUCUCUUCUGCUUUUCC
rnacentral:lncRNA from 1 species